rnacentral:rRNA from 1 species
UACGAAAGGGGCUAGCGUUGUUCGGAAUUACUGGGCGUAAAGCGCACGUAGGCGGCCAUGUAAGUUGGGGGUGAAAUCCCGGGGCUCAACCCCGGAACUGCCUUCAAAACUACAUAGCUAGAGGAUGUGAGAGGAUAGUGGAAUUCCGAGUGUAGAGGUGAAAUUCGUAGAGAUUCGGAAGAACACCGGUGGCGAAGGCGACUGUCUGGCACAUUUCUGACGCUGAGGUGCGAAAGAGUGGGGAUCAAACAGG